ACUCAAUACUCUUAUGAAAACAAUUCGCCUAAGAGGAACUCGUGAGCGAAUUUAUUUUUCAUCAUGAAAUUCUUCUACAUUUUCACGAUCAUUGUGACACUGGCAUUGGCUGUCAGUGGUCGAGAGCACUGCAGAGUUUGGUGUUCGAAGAAUCGUCAUUGCUGUUCGUACUCUUGUAUCAACGGAAAAUGUGCCUGAUUAAAUAAUUAACUAUGUAGUCGAUAGCAAAAUAAAUUUGUCUCUAAGGGAAACCAUGGAAAAA